CGGCCUCGGCCCCGCUGCGGCCCCCACCCCCCGGCCUCUGCUGGUCUCUAAACCAGGGGAGGAGGGAGGCCCGUGAAGCCGGCCAGCGGCUCUGGGAGGCGGCGCAGAGGCCAGCUGCUCAUGGGAGAACAGGGCUGCCAGCGUGUACCCGGGCCUCGCUGCGGGGAGCUCGAGGUGCGUUUUACUGGAGACCCCUGGAUGGGCAAGAACGGCCGCAAGUGCUGCUGGCGAGCCGGGCUGGAGGCCUGCGCCUGUGCCCUCGCCAAGGCAGCUCCUGGGGGCAGGCAGACAGGAGGGCCCCCAGCGCCCCGGCCCACUGUGUCUGGAGGCCUCCCCACUCACAGCUCCCCCGGGCGGGAGAGUGGCAGAGGCUGCAGCUGCUGGGGGCCCAGGACCGGGGGGCCCCGAGUGCCCACGUGGCCGGGAGAGGCAGUGGACGAGACGCGUGUGGGGCGCCCAGACACACGAAACCUCAAACAAAGGUCACUCUGAGAGCUGGUGCCUCUCGCCCAGAGAGAAAGUGGAGGCCUUCAGAACACUCUGUCCUCUUCUUUGUGGAGCUGGAGGGCCGUCUAACCCACUUUACUGCCCCCACGCCACGCGCUGGCGCCGGCUCAUGAGUAGCCGGCUGUUCCCACUUCCUGCCCUGCCUCCCUCACGGGGCGAUGGGCAGGGGUCCCUCCACAGUCCUCCACCGGGCCCUGCGCCGACCCUGCCGCCCACUCCCGCGUGUCCCUCACCUCCCAUGGCCCUGCGGCGCGUCCCUACCCUUUCUCUGCAUCCCUGGGGCCUCCCAGCCUUGGGGCCCUGCCCCAGAAGCUCCCACUGUUAACGCUCACGCCCCCCGCACCCCUUUCUCCCCUCGUCACUUUCCCGUCGUCAGCCCGGGGCCCCCGUCUCCUCGCUGCCCCUCGCUGUCCCCAGAAUGCUGCACCUGGACGCGGCCCUGACCUUGACAGCCGUGCGGCCAGGGUGCACCCCGCGGGCCGUGGCUGGCGGGAGGGGCUUGCUGGAGUGGCCACGCGGGCUCUGGGCCGCCCACCACGUCCUCCGCUCUCCCCCCUCCCUCCUCUCCCCCCGCCACCCCCCUCUCCCCAAGGCUGCAAACAGCUGCGUGUGGAUCUAAAACGGAGCGCGAGGGCAAAGAUGGAGAGCUGUAUAAAUAGAAAAAUAAUAAUAAUAAUUGCGGGUUUGAGGUUUAUCUGCGACAGUUGGGGGUGCCUGGCCUUGCGCUCAUCACUCUUGAGGGAAAAGGUCACCCCUAGCCAGGGACGAGAGGCCCCAGC
rnacentral:lncRNA from 1 species